UAUAUUGAAAAACAAAAUCUGAACCUAGUUUCAAAUGGUGCUCUCUCUCCCCCUCUUGUAUUCUAUCUUCCCUCUCUCCUGAUACAGAGAUGCCUCCUUCCUCGCUCGCAUCCCAGUAGGCCCAGGCCGCCGACACGCACGGCACCAGCAGCCUCGCAAGCCCCCGAAACCCUAUUCACCGAGCCUCGCUACCGUACGCGCCGCCUAUCCCAAUCAACGGGCCGCCCGAAGUCACUACCACCCUGACGUUUUCGAGCAAAAUCCGGCCACUUCGAGCCUCUAUGAGCUGAGCCACCAUCACCACCGUACUCAGCAGACCAUGGGAAGAAAAACGCACUUCAGGAUCGGGCCCAAAACCCACCGUGGGUGUUAGCCGAAAUCCAUGGAAUUUUGAACGGUUUUGGCUUAGUUCCGGCCACCCCAAGCCGUCGUGGGUCACACUGCCACCUUCUUUAGUCUCCUCGUGGUCAGGGCUUUCAAGCCCAACCAAUUUGUUACCCAACCGCCACUUCGUCAUUGUUACCCAAGCCCAAAAAGAAAGAAAACCUAGCCUCCUAAACUCUUUUUUUUUUUUUUUUCAUUCAAGCUUUAACGUUCUGGUUUGCUCAGCCGCCGCCCCUCCGCGAACGCCGCCCCUUCUCCGCCGACCAGUUUUUGAAGCAGAAGAGGAAGAAGAAAUUGAAAUGAUUCUGGAAAACUAUCCCCAAAGGUUGGUUAUCAUCUCCCUUGUCCCUGGCAAAACAGAAAGAGAAGCUCUCGGAUGAGGAGGUUGAUUACUGUUCUGUAUGCAAAAUUGAUUUUGGGUUGUCUUCCAGUGGAGAAACUCAGGAUUGCCUACAAAAUAAUCCGACAACUCUGGAAUGAACUCUUUUGCCUUGGAUACAUAUUUGAAAUCAAGAUAUUGGCUAAUCGGCAGUCUAUGCUCGCUCAAAGGAGAGGAAAGCUCGCAAAAUACAGGAACUUGAGUGAAAAGUUCAGACUCUUCAAACAGAAGCUACAACUCUAUCUGCCCAACUCACACUCUUCCAGGUAUGUGUUGGUGAGCUUUUAGAAUGACAUUUAUUUACAACCUGUUUUAAGACUACCACACAGGACACAAGGAAUUUUUAGGCUGGAAAGUUUAAAGUAUUCAACAAUUUGUCUUGUGGAAAAAAAGGUGAUUAUAUGAGGUUGAUGUUAGAAUUUUAAGAGAGAUUGCCAUUAUUCUAUUCAAAGCAUUUUAUAUUCCGAUUCUUUCAGUAUUUAAUAUAUGUUAUUUCAAAGCAUUUUAUAUAUGCUCUAUUUCUAUAAAUAAUUUAGGGAAUAUUGACUACACUUUCCCAAAGCAAUGGCAAGUACAUGUAUGAAUAUGCAACUAUUUCAUUUCUUGUUGAAGUGUUCAAGGUACUUCUCUUAAUUUAACUAGUAAAAUCAUUUUCACUUUUCCUCUUGGUUCGUGGUUGAAAAGUAGUUUUGGUUUUCCAGCUAUCUAGUGAUAUUUAUUUUUCCUUUCCACCCGUACACCACGUAUAUUGAUUUUCUUUUACGAUUUUGUCUUUUAAACUGUAGCUAUUAGUCUCUAGUUUACUACUAUGGAGAGAAUGCCGGGCAUCACCUUAGUUUAAAGAACUAAGACUUUUAAAUUGAAACCGACAAGUAUGUAUUCCUUAGUUUAAAGAACUAAGAUUAACUACUUAAGCCAUGAGGCUAUCCAGUUUGAUAAGAAAAAUACAACUUUUAUAUAAAUCAUUUUUGUGACUGAAAACCACAUUCAUCCUUUUUAUUUCUUCUGCAACCUCAAGUUCUCUAUUUAUUACAGUUUUGGUUUGACUUUAACGGUGUUUAUUCUGUAUUGUAAGCUAAAACUCUACUUGGAUAUUUAAGAGAACCAAGACAAUUAUAUAAGAGAACCAAGGCAUAGAGAAAUUCUUCUGCAAGUUGUUGGGUAAAGGCAAGGGCAUGCUGGACCAAGCCUGAGGUGGAGAGCUCCGAGGUGAAAUGUACAUAGCCAGCUGUUCGAUCACCAUGGUCGAGGAGUGAGUCAGGACAGGGAUUACCUAACUGCUCGUUUUGCCUUAGUAUGGCUGGUUAAUGUAUUUAAACCUUGUGACUUUUGUAAAUGGCCUUUAAACUAUUAUUUUUGGGAUCCCGUGUAAAUAAACAAUGUUUCUUAAUGAAAACGUGACUUU